rnacentral:rRNA from 1 species
AGCCCAACAGCUAGCCUAAACAGCCAAAAACAAUAACCAACCAUAAAUAAACCCAAAUGCACCCAAAGCAACAAACAAACCAUUUUUCCCCUUUAGUAUAGGAGAUAGAAAAAGACAUUUGAGCGAUAGAAAAAGUACCGCAAGGGAAAGCUGAAAGAGAAAUGAAACAACCCAGUAAAGCACUAAAAAGCAGAGACACUUCCUCGUACCUUUUGCAUCAUGAUUUAGCCAGUACUCCCUAAGCAAAAAGAAUUUUAGUUUAGUCCCCCGAAACUAAGUGAGCUACUCCAAGGCAGCCUUCCAUUAGGGCGCACCCGUCUCUGUGGCAAAAGAGUGGGAAGAACUUUGAGUAGAGGUGACAGACCUACCGAACUUAGUUAUAGCUGGUUGCCUGAGAACUGGAUAGAAGUUCAGCCCUUUGUGUUUCUUAAGCCAACUCUUGUUAUACUUCACCUGACAAAAAGAAAGCAAAGGAGUUAGUUAAAGGAGGUACAGCUCCUUUAUUUCAAGAUACAACUUCUCCAGGAGGAUAAAGAUCACACUGAUCAAGGGACCUAUGUUUUGGUGGGCCUAAAAGCAGCCAUCCUAAUAGAAAGCGUUAAAGCUCAAACAUAAAACCUCCCAUCAAUUCUGAUAACCUCUCUGACUCCCCUAUUAUUAACAGGCCCUCCUAUGCCCCCAUAGGAUAGAUUAUGCUAAUAUGAGUAAUAAGAAAGAAAAGACUUUCUCCAAGCACAAGUGUAUAUCGGAACGAACCCCCGCCGAAAAUUAAAGGCCCCAAAAACAGAGGGAAAUGAAAAUAUUUUAGAGAACAAGAAAUACACUCAACCACCCGCCUUUAACCCCACACUGGUGUGCCUAUUUAGGAAAAACUAAAAGAGAAAGAAGGAACUCGGCAAACACAAGCCUCGCCUGUUUACCAAAAACAUCGCCUCUUGAAAACUAUAUAUGAGAGGUCCCGCCUGCCCUGUGACUCUAAGUUUAACGGCCGCGGUAUCUUAACCGUGCGAAGGUAGCGCAAUCACUUGUCUCUUAAAUAGGGACCUGUAUGAAUGGCAUAACGAGGGCUUAGCUGUCUCCUUUCUCAAGUUAAUGAAAUUGACCUUCCCGUGCAGAGGCGGGAAUACACCCAUAAGACGAGAAGACCCUAUGGAGCUUUAGGCACAAGAACUGCUCAUGUAAAAAACCUCUAACAAAAGAAUGUAACCUUAUGAUUUCAGUUCGUAUGCCUUUGGUUGGGGCGACCGCGGGGAAACGAAAAACCCCCACGUGGACUGGGAUAACAUAAUCCUAGAGACAAGAGCUCCCACUCUAGUCAACAGAACUUCUGACCUUACUGAUCCGGCGCAAGCCGAUCAACGAACCGAGUUACCCUAGGGAUAACAGCGCAAUCCCCUUAUAGAGCCCAUAUCGACAAGGGGGUUUACGACCUCGAUGUUGGAUCAGGAUGUCCUAAUGGUGCAGCCGCUAUUAAGGGUUCGUUUGUUCAACGAUUAAAAUCCUACGUGAUCUGAGUUCAGACCGGAGUAAUCCAGGUCGGUUUCUAUCUAUGAUGUAAUUUAUUUCAGUACGAAAGGACCAAAAAAAUAAGGCCCCUGUUUUUUACAAGCCUUCCCCUCACCUACUGACCCCCACUCAAGUAGGCAAGAGGGUACAACCCUUAAGCCAUAGACCAUGGCAU